UACGUAGGUGGCGAGCGUUGUCCGGAUUUACUGGGCGUAAAGAGCGCGCAGGCGGUCGUGUAAGUCGAAUGUGAAAGCCCCCGGCUCAACUGGGGAGGGUCAUUCGAUACUGCUCGACUCGAAGGCAGGAGAGGGAAGCGGAAUUCCCGGUGUAGUGGUGAAAUGCGUAGAUAUCGUAAGGAAGACCAGUGGCGAAGGCGGGUCUCUGGACAGUUCCUGACGCUGAGGCACGAAGGCCAGGGGAGCAAACGGG
rnacentral:rRNA from 1 species